rnacentral:misc_RNA from 1 species
GAUGAAGAACGUAGCGAAAUGCGAUAAGUAAUGUGAAUUGCAGAAUUCAGUGAAUCAUCGAAUCUUUGAACGCACAUUGCGCCCGCCAGCACUCUGGCGGGCAUGCCUGUUCGAGCGUCAUUUCAACCAUCAAGCCCCCAGGGGCUUGUGCUGGGGCCCUGCGGCUGCCCGCAGGCCCUGAAAACCAGUGGCGGGCUCGCUAGUCACACCGAGCGCAGUAGCACAUCUCGCUCAGGGCGUGCGGCGGGCUCCUGCCGUGAAACCCCCCACUGUAACCCCAAAGGUUGACCUCGGAUCAGGUAGGGAUACCCGCUGAACUUAAGCAUAUCAAUAAGCGGAGGA